UACAGAGGGUGCGAGCGUUGUUCGGAAUUAUUGGGCGUAAAGGGCGCGUAGGCGGUGCGGUAAGUCACCUGUGAAAUCUCCUGGCUCAACUGGGAGCUUGCAGGCGAAACUGCCGUGCUGGAGUGUGGGAGAGGUGCGUGGAAUUCCUGGUGUAGCGGUGAAAUGCGUAGAUAUCAGGAGGAACACCGGUGGCGAAGGCGGGUCUCUGGGCCGAUAUUGACGCUGAGGAGCGAAAGCGUGGGGAGCAAACAGG
rnacentral:rRNA from 1 species